GGAGCGGGUCGGGCGGUCGCUGGCGCCGCUUCAUCUUUUGAUGCGACGCCGGAGGAAAGUCCGAACGCCUCAGGGCAGGAUGCUUCCUAACGGGAAGGCGGGGCAACCCGACGGAUAGCGCAACAGAAAACAUACCGCCGAUGGGGAGCUGUAUUAUUACAGCCCCACAGGCAAGGGUGAAAUGGCGCGGUAAGAGCGCACCGGCGCGGUGGCGACAUCGCGGCCUGGCAAGCCCCAUCCGGCGCAAGGCCAAAUAGGGGAGAAGGGCGCGCCCGGCCCGAGGGGACUGGCGACAGCCCCCGAAAACUCCCGGGUAGGCCGCUUGAGCCCGGGGGCGACCCCGGGACCAGAUGAAUGACCGCCGCCCCGGGUUUUUCCCGGGGAACAGAAUUCGGCUUACAGACCCGCUCCGUUU
rnacentral:RNase_P_RNA from 1 species